GAAAGACAGAAGAUAUACAUGUUUGACUGUGUGGGCAAGGUCCUUCCUCAAAGAGACAAGCUUCCCCUUCAUUCAAAGGGCUGUGGAUCUGUGACUGCCUUGAGGAGAACCAUGACCAUUGAGCUAAUGCAAGAGAUCUCUGCAGAUCAAAGCAUUUGGGACACUCCAGCUCUGCAACCUAUUGCAGUAACCACGAUGGCAGCUGGCCCUGACACUCUGGGAUCCCAUCAGCUUGAUUGCCUUCAAGGUGCCCACUUAAAAGGCAGCAUUUCUAACUGUCAUUGCAGCGAAUAUCUACACUGAAUUCUUCACAGAUUCUGGGCAUCUCCUCCCCAAAUUUAUUUUCUUACAGCUUUGGAGAUGGGAAUUUUCUGGGGUCCUUUUGGGGACACAUAAUUAGAGGUAAACUGUAUGUCAUAUGUGAUAAAUCCACCCUACUCUUCCAA